rnacentral:rRNA from 1 species
CAGUAGCGUAUAUUAAAGUUGUUGCGUUUGAAAAGCUCGUAGUUGGUGGUUCGCUCGAUGAAAGUCAGCACCUGUGCAAACUUUCGUGGGGUGGUAUUUGGCGUUUCGCUGGCUUCACCGUGAGAAAACUAGGGUGAUCCAAACGGGUUCAGCUUGAAUGUUGCAGCAUGGAAUGGGUCGUUGGCUACUGGUUGGGCGUUUCGGCAGCUCUCGCAGCAGUAAUCGUUAAGAGGGACAGCUGGUGGACUUCGUAUUGAGUUGCUAGAGGUGAAAUUCUUGGAUCAACUCACGACGAACUGACGCGAAAGCCUUCGCCACAUGCGCUCCUUUUAA